rnacentral:rRNA from 1 species
UUACACAUGCAGUCGAGCGAGACAGACUUCGGGUCUGGGGACAGCGGCGAACGGGUGAGUAACACGUGGGUAAUCAACCCUCGGUACUGGGAUAGCCCGGGGAAACCCGGAUUAAUUACCGGAUGGCCCUUUGGAUCUUCGGAUCUGACGGAAAAGGUAGCUUCGGCUCCGACCGAGGACGAGCCCGCGGCGGAUUAGCUUGUCUGGUGAGGUAACGGUCACCAAAGGCGACGAUCCGUAGCUGGUCUGAGAGGACGAUCAGCACACUGGGACUGAGACAACGGCCAAACUCCUAACAGGGAGGCAGCAGUGGGGAAUCUUGGGCAAUGGGGCGAAAGCCUUGACGGCAAGCAAACGCCGCGUUGGGGGAUGAAGGCUCUCGGGUUGUAAACCCCUUUCAGUAGGGACGAAUUCAGACGGUACCUACAGAAGAAGCCCCGGCAACUACGUGCCAGCAGCCGCGGUAACACGUAGGGGGCAAGCGUUGUCCGGAUUCAUUUGGGCGUAAAGGGUGCGUAGGUGGCGCCGUAAGUCGGGUGUGAAAUUUCGGAGCUUAACUCCGAAAUUGAUUCGAUACUGGGUGCUUGAGGACUGGAGAGGGAGACUGGAA